rnacentral:lncRNA from 1 species
UCAGCGGGUGCGGGCGCGCGCGUGCGGGCGCUGGGCUGGUUGGGCGGCGGGCGCGCGCGAGGAGUUGGGCCGGUUCGGCCCAAUUCGGCCGGGCCGGUCCGUUUGCUCCUUUUUUUUCUUCUUUUACCCUUUUCUUUUUUCUGUUUUUCUUAUACCUUUGAUAUCUUUUGAUUUCGAACUCCAAAUUGGUCCAAACAAAAUCCAGAAAAUUUGAAAAAUCAUGUCCUACCAUGAUACAACUUUUGGGAGUAGUUUCUCUUCAAAAUAAACUACAUAAAAAUACAUUUGCCCUAUAAAUGCCUUUAGGGCCAUAUAUCUAUUUAAAGAAAAUACAUUUUCAACUCCAAUGAUUAUCCAAAAAUUAUGGGAUAGCUUAUAUAUGCAUUAAACCCCUUUUAUACACAAAACCUAUUGGUUUGAAGAUCCAAAGUUCAAAUGGGUGUAAACCCUAAGGUUCAAGUUGAAAUAAAACUUUUAAAGCCUUUUUGAGAUUCAAAUUUGAAUUCAAACAUGCAAUUGUGGCAUGAUGCUCAUGGGUGCAAUGCACAUGUAAAAGUUUGAAAUUUUGGGAUGUUACAGACCUAACCCCCUUAAGAUGAAUCUCGUCCUCGAGAUUCGGUGUGGUUAGCAAAGAGGUGUGGGUGGUCUUCUCGAAGAUCAUCUUCGCGUUCCGAAGUGGCUUCUUCUUCUGUAUGAUGGUCCCACUGGACUUUGCAAAACUUGAUGGUCUUGGAUCGGGUCUGUCUCUCAGCUGUGUCCAAGAUUCUGAUCGGUUUCUCCUCAUAGGUGAGGUCACUCUGCAAUUUCACUUCUUCUAGGGGUAUCGUAUCCCUUAGUGGUGUGUCGGCCAUCUCGGGGUGACACUUCUUUAGUUGUGAUACAUGGAAGACAUUGUGAACAUUGGACAGUGUUUCCGGUAAAUCCAACUUGUAAGCCACUUCUCCUUGGCGUGACAAGAUUUUGAAAGGCCCAAUUAAAUGGGGUGCUAACUUUCCUUUUAUACCAAAUCUCUUCACUCCGCGUAUCGGCGAAACUCUGAGAUACGCUCUAUCUUCAGCUUCAUAGGU